rnacentral:rRNA from 1 species
AACAAACGCUGGCGGCGUGCCUAAUACAUGCAAGUCGAACGGGGAAAGCUUUCGGGUGAGUACUAGUGGCGCACGGGUGAGGAACGCGUGGCUAAUCUGCCUUAUAGUGGGGGAUGACUAGUCGAAAGAUUAGCUAAUACCGCAUAAGACCACAGGAGCUGCGGCUCAAGGGGUCAAAGGUUUUUCGCUCUAAGAUGAGUCCGCGUAAGAUUAGCUAGUUGGUGAGGUAACGGCUCACCAAGGUGAGGAUCUGUAACUGGUCUGAGAGGAUGAUCAGUCAGACUGGAACUGAGACACGGUCCAGACGCCUACGGGAGGCAGCAGUAGGGAAUAUUGCACAAUGGAGGAAACUCCGAUGCAGCGACGCCGCGUGAGUGAUGAAGGCUUUCGGGUCGUAAAGCGCUGUCGCAGGGGAAUAACACAAUGAAUGUACCCUGUAAGAAAGGAUCGGCUAACUUCGUGCCAGCCGCCGCCGUAAUAC